GACGAACGCUGGCGGCGUGCUUAACACAUGCAAGUCGAACGGAAAGGCCCUGCUUGCAGGGUACUCGAGUGGCGAACGGGUGAGUAACACGUGGGUGAUCUGCCCUGCACUUCGGGAUAAGCUUGGGAAACUGGGUCUAAUACCGGAUAGGAGCCAUCUUUAGUGUGGUGGUUGGAAAGUUUUUUCGGUGUAGGAUGAGCUCGCGGCCUAUCAGCUUGUUGGUGGGGUAAUGGCCUACCAAGGCGGCGACGGGUAGCCGGCCUGAGAGGGUGUACGGCCACAUUGGGACUGAGAUACGGCCCAGACUCCUACGGGGGGCAGCAGUGGGGAAUAUUGCACAAUGGGCGCAAGCCUGAUGCAGCGACGCCGCGUGGGGGAUGAAGGCCUUCGGGUUGUAAACUCCUUUCGCUAGGGACGAAGCUUUUUUGUGACGGUACCUAGAGAAGAAGCACCGGCUAACUACGUG
rnacentral:rRNA from 1 species